rnacentral:rRNA from 1 species
UACGGGGGGGCAAGCGUUGUUCGGAAUUACUGGGCGUAAAGGGCUCGUAGGUGGCCAACUAAGUCAGACGUGAAAUCCCUCGGCUUAACCGGGGAACUGCGUCUGAUACUGGAUGGCUUGAGUUUGGGAGAGGGAUGCGGAAUUCCAGGUGUAGCGGUGAAAUGCGUAGAUAUCUGGAGGAACACCCGUGGCGAAGGCGGCUCUCUGGAACGCAACUGACGCUGAGACGCGAAAGCGUGGGGAGCAAACAGG